UGCCCAAUAGCCAAGCGGUAAGGCAUCAGAUUCUGACUCUGACAUUCCGUGGGUUCGAAUCCUACUUGGGCAA
rnacentral:tRNA from 1 species